CAGGAAUGGAACGCAGAUUGACUUCCUAGCCGUGGAUGAUAACUAUAACUUUGAGAUGCAGGGGGCCAUCAACCUGGGGACCAUUAAGACCAUCAAACCGGGUGACGAGAUUGUGGUGGAGUGCACCUAUUACACAGCCAAUCGCAAAGGAG